UUUUCUCACCCCUUUAUCAGUCUCAACUACUCGUCCCUCGUCCUUGGCCUCUCCCAUCAUCAUUGAUUUUUAAAAAUUCAAUAUUAAAUAGCACCAUGAAGGUGCUUAAACUGUACAACAAGAGUAAUCCCCAGGGUUACGCCACGAGUACAUUUCAAAUGCUGUUUUCAGUAACCACCAUUUGUAUGAUAUUCGACAAAACUACGUCUACAGAUUUGUAAUUCUGAAGAGCAUUAAUGAACUCUGGGGGUUUGACCACUAUCCAAUCAUUCAGCAAGCACCAAAAAUACAGUAGUCAUAAAUAGUUGUACGUGAUCUUUUUUUGGGGGGUUAAUCAUUGAGAUGUCCAGACCAGCUUACCCCGCACCUCUCACCUCUCACCUCUCACCCAGUGUAUGUACCGGUAACUCUUUCAACCAAGGGUUGGACAAAUGAGAAGAAAGCACCUAGUGUUUUGCCUCUUGCUGCUGAUGGGUUCGAUCAUGUUCUCAAAACACUAAGAUCCUCUCUUUCCAUAUUGUCCAUCAAAUGCAAGAAGGUUGUGAUAUUUCAAGUCUAUUUCAGAAGAUCUCUUAACACGUGCCAUAUCAGCAUAAAUUAAACGUUAAGGACAGCCAAACAAGACCCGAGAGACGGAGCAAUUUUGCAC
rnacentral:lncRNA from 1 species